rnacentral:misc_RNA from 1 species
GUUUUAUUUUCAUCAAUUUUAUGAAUUGUAUUAUAAUUUUUUCGCUCAGCGAAAUGACAUUGCACAAGCAUAUUAAUCUUUAGCAAAUACCGAUCUCAUCAGUUGUCAUCCAUACAAGGGAAACGGAGGUGGGAUGGGAUAAGCAACUAAAGAAGAUGAACAAAGAUCAUACAUAAGGUAGAUGUAACCAUUCAUAAAUAUCCAUUGUUCACAGAAGAUUCAAAUUACAUAUUUGGAAUUCAAAUUUAGAAAACACAAUUCCACUUGUGUCAAAGGGAAAUCCUCUCGAUAUUAUUCUAUACUUUUAUAUUUUGAGCAUCAACUCCAAGCACAGCAACCUAUACACCGUCUUCAGUCACCUGAAUUGAGAACACAUCAUCAGCACCAACAAUAAAAGCGAGUCCACAAGGCCAAAUUAUUGCCUACCCUAAGCAUGCAAAACAGCAAAAGGGACAAAACGAGUAUGAUACAUCCAGGACAGGUAUCUCGUACAAAAUGGUUAGCAUCAUAAUGCAGUUGUUACCUGUGAACCAACAAAAUUAUAAUGGUCAAUCAGAAUCCAAAGUUUGUCAUUUAAUAUCCGCAAUUUUACCAAACAUUAGCCCACCACCGCACAAAGAACACAUUAGUCAAAUCUGCCCUACAUUAAAUAGUAAAUACUGCACUUAGAGAUUAACAGUCGGCUUAAGUAAUGACUAUUAUAUAAGAGCAUUUGUAUUUUGAAUUUUUACAGAUUGAUGUCACACCGGUGAAAGUAAAUGGAGUUUCUAUUAUAACUUUGUUUUCUUACGAAGUAGAUCUUAUUUUGUCAAUAAUUAUUAUAAAUGAAUUGCAAUUAUAGAAGCAGAAAUAAUAUGAGUUGACAUCAUUAAGUAAUGAGUUGUCUAAUAAAAGAUUAUCAUACAGGAACCCUAGGAAGAACAAUACAGUAGAUCUAUGGUGACAAGUCAUAUCUCCGGAUCUCCAACACAAUAUAUAACGAUGCCAGAAAAUCUACAUGGUGAAAUUGAAUUCAUAAAACAUAAAGUUAAUGAAACAUUUUAACAAACCCCAAAAAUUGUAUCCCAUAAGGUGUUUUGGAAUAUAUGAAUUGUCUUUUCUUGCUUUUCUAUUAUUGAGUACUGUUUAAGUAAAACCAGCUAUUGGAUUCUGCAUUUACACACUAACAUAACAUCAAUUCAAUUCUUCAAAACCCAGUUACAACAAAAAGCCAAACUUCAGCCAUUAAAAGCAUUCCUUUUCAUCUGAGACACGAAGUUCUUCAUAUUGAACUCGACUAUAGUCAACUAAUAAUUUCCUAUCAAAUUUCAAGAGAUAUUUUCAGUAUUGACAUGUUUUAACAUCAAAUUCACUAAAUUUCCAAAUGCUAGGGCAUCGCACUUGUGCUUUAAUCAAAGCAGAGUAUGUAAAUUUACUAGCAGUUACCCAGCUAAGCUGUAGAGUCUGAAGGGGCAUCCCCAAUUAGCUUGAAUUCCUGGACCUCCUUAAAAUUCAACCAUGGCUUUUCCCAAACCUUGGCUUCGUAAACUUUCUUUUGACCGCCAUCAGUUACCUCCAAAGUAAUAUAGUAAAUGGUCCCAGCCACCACCUGCUGCUUUGCAUUCACCACUUUCUUAAACUCCAGCAGCGCAUUCUGUUCAAAGUUCAUACCAUGUAUUUUCAGAGAACAAGAAAUUGAAAGCUUAAAAUUCAACUAAAAAAAGAAAAUUCCAAUUAAUCAAAAUUCCUAAUGAAAAUUAUUUUUAAAAAAAUACAGAAAUGAAAUUCAAUUAAAAGAACAUAUUUCAAACCAAAAUUAAACAAGGCACAGAAUUCAAUCAGCACAUAAAAAAAUCAACAAAAGAGGGAAAAAAAAGAAAUAGAAUUAAACUGGAAAAGCAUCAUCGUCAUCCUCAUCCUCAAAGUCAAAUUGAAUGAAAUUCAGAUCUUAAACUGGAUUGAGAACCUGUUUCUGGUUGUAAUCAUCGACAGCAUAACGAGCGAGGCUAUUGAUCUCAACGCUGUUGGCCGAUCCCUCCACUUCCUUAACACCUCCUAGUUUUGCCAUUUCCUUGGAAUUUUCUUUUCUUUUCUUUUCUUUAAUUAACAUUGGCGGAUUCUAUUCUGGAGGCAAAGCAAGAGAGGAAUUUGAAUGCGAGGAAAUAUGGAUACGACGUCGUCUAUUCGAUCUAUUGAUCAGGCCGUCGAGGAGAUCAUGAGAAUUCACAGAUCGUUACCGACGAGACCUGGG